GACGAACGCUGGCGGCGUGCUUAACACAUGCAAGUCGAACGGAAAGGCCCUGCUUUUGUGGGGUGCUCGAGUGGCGAACGGGUGAGUAACACGUGAGUAACCUGCCCUUGACUUUGGGAUAACUUCAGGAAACUGGGGCUAAUACCGGAUAGGAGCUCCUGCUGCAUGGUGGGGGUUGGAAAGUUUCGGCGGUUGGGGAUGGACUCGCGGCUUAUCAGCUUGUUGGUGGGGUAGUGGCUUACCAAGGCUUUGACGGGUAGCCGGCCUGAGAGGGUGACCGGCCACAUUGGGACUGAGAUACGGCCCAGACUCCUACGGGAGGCAGCAGUGGGGAAUAUUGCACAAUGGGCGGAAGCCUGAUGCAGCAACGCCGCGUACGGGAUGACGGCCUUCGGGUUGUAACCCGCUUUCGCCUGUGACGAAGCGUGAGUGACGGUAAUGGGUAAAGAAGCACCGGCUAACUACGUG
rnacentral:rRNA from 1 species